rnacentral:rRNA from 1 species
GAUGAACGCUGGCGGCGUGCUUAACACAUGCAAGUCGAACGGAAAGGCCCAAGCUUGCUUGGGUACUCGAGUGGCGAACGGGUGAGUAACACGUGGGUGAUCUGCCCUGCACUUCGGGAUAAGCCUGGGAAACUGGGUCUAAUACUGGAUAGGACCACUUCUUGGAUGGUGUGGUGGAAAGUUUUUUCGGUGUGGGAUGAGCUCGCGGCCUAUCAGCUUGUUGGUGGGGUAAUGGCCUACCAAGGCGUCGACGGGUAGCCGGCCUGAGAGGGUGUACGGCCACAUUGGGACUGAGAUACGGCCCAGACUCCUACGGGAGGCAGCAGUGGGGAAUAUUGCACAAUGGGCGCAAGCCUGAUGCAGCGACGCCGCGUGGGGGAUGACGGCCUUCGGGUUGUAAACUCCUGUCGCUAGGGACGAAGCGUUUUUGUGACGGUACCUGGAGAAGAAGCACCGGCUAACUACGUG